GACGUCACUUCGGUAUUAAAAGGCCCAUGACUGCCUCAGCAUUGAGCACAGACCCUUGAUCCAGCAGGAAACUUCUCCAGAAGAAGAUAACACAGGCAUAAGAAUGAAUAAACUUUGGAUUCUGAGUUUUGCAGUGCUACUCAUCACCAUUCCAUUUUCAACUCAGGAUGGCAGUGAGCCGAAAAGCAGUGGCUCAUCACCUGCGACUACCUCCACGAAUUCCAGCGCUGUGGGAUUGGGUCCUGUGCCCACCACACUGUACCUGCUGAUCCCUGCAGCCACCCUGGGCUUCUUACACAGCAUAUCCUAAAGUGAUGGAUGGAGAGCGCUCACCAUAGAUGACCCACACAGAGACAGUGGCGAAAUGGACAGCCAUCCACUCAAAGAGCAAACUUUUCCACAAAUCUUGAAGAGAGAAGAUGCCUCAGCUCACAUUUUUGUAAUGGAUUUUAUUUAAUGAAAAUGAAUAAAGUUUUGAGAAUUUCUUCAAGAGGGAUUUGUUUGGUUACAUCUGUUUUAGGGAGCUUCAAAGACACCUGCAGCUUUGGCUCUUUGUUUUAGAGCUCACCUACUCAAUGGCAAAUUCCCUUGGAAGAGUUCGAUUCUCCUGUGCUCAGUAUAUGAUUGAGAUGAAGCAAGUUAACAAAACUCCAUUACUUUAAUCAGUAAUCACAUUAAAAUUUUAGUCCAAUUUCUGUAAUGACGGCUUGUGUACUACAAAUUUGACAUUUUACAAUAAAUGUGAUCAAUGUACUACAUUUCAGAAUGUACAUCUCAUUUUUUUCAUUCAAACCAGUAUGAAUGUUUCAUCCUAAGAUGUAUAAUCAGAGUUUCAUAAUAGUUUACCCCAUGUGUUUUAUUUAAGAAUUAGAUGAGUACAAAUAUAGACUUAGAAUAAUCAGGAUUCUCUGUAUGUUCUCUCAUGCCAACAACAUACUGAACAAAGCAAAAGAGAGUUUUAUAAUAGUUUUAGUAAGGUUAAUAAAAUGUAGAGUAGAAAAUACAGGUAUCCUAGUUAGAAAUUUAUUCGAGAAUUGAGUGUAUUUGACAUUUUGAAAACAGUUUUAAGAGAUGAAGGCACUGUACUGAUAGAGGAUGUGAUCCUCUUCUUAAACCAAUGAUCAGGUGCUUAAACACGUCACACAUUAUUCACGGUGAGAAUAAAACUCCCCUCCUGCACCGCAUAAGCACAAACUCUGCCCACAGAAAACAUCUCUGCAAGGAGAAAAAGAAGGCAUAAUCAUGAAUAAAAUACUGGCAUUGUGCAUCGGGUUACUGAUUAUAACCUUACCCUUUUCAUCUCAGGAGGGAAAUAAUUCAACCAAAGUAACUCCAUCUUCAACCAAGCCUCCACCCAGUGCUGCAGGAUUGGGUCAGCUGCCCACCGUGAUGUGCCUUCUGAUCCCAGCAGUCACCGUGGGCUUCAUCCACAGUAGAUCCUAAACUGGCUGGAGAAUAUUCCGAUGACCAAGAGGAGCAAAGAUAGAUAGCCAGUCACAUGAAGACCACACUUUCCCAAAAUUCUUGAAGAUAUAAGACACAAGAACAGCUCAAUAAGAAGAUGCCACAACGAAUCAACAUUUUUUAAAUAAUAAUAAUAAAAACUGGGAUUUAAAGGAAAAUAUCCACUGUAUACUGAACCAAGGAUCCUCCAAAGCCCAAAGAAACCACACCAUCAAACUCUGUUGCGUUUUAGUAUUUUACUUUAAAUUGGACUCAUCAGUUGCAACAUCUUGUGAAAGACUGUAUGUAUCUGAUCACUGUAAUCCACCUUCUCCAAAAUAUUUUUGCACUAACUGUGAUGAAAUAUUAAUUGUAAUGAAUACGAAUAUGUCUUAAUGCACAAUUAAAGUGGAUGACUGUUAA